rnacentral:tRNA from 1 species
UCGGAAAAUAGAAUAGCAGCAUCAAGUUCAUAACGGCGCAAUGGCUGCAAAGUCACUUCACAAGCUAAUUCGUGGU